rnacentral:rRNA from 1 species
UACGUAGGGUGCGAGCGUUGUCCGGAAUUAUUGGGCGUAAAGAGCUCGUAGGCGGUUUGUCGCGUCUGCUGUGAAAACUCGGGGCUUAACCCCGGGCCUGCAGUGGGUACGGGCAGACUAGAGUGCGGUAGGGGAGACUGGAAUUCCUGGUGUAGCGGUGAAAUGCGCAGAUAUCAGGAGGAACACCGGUGGCGAAGGCGGGUCUCUGGGCCGAAACUGACGCUGAGGAGCGAAAGCGUGGGGAGCAAACAGG